GCAUUGGUGGUUCAGUGGUAGAGUUCUAGCUUGCCAUGUUGGAGACCUGGGUUCGAUUCCCAGCCAAUGCA
rnacentral:tRNA from 1 species